rnacentral:lncRNA from 1 species
CACCGCUUUGUAAUGGACGAGGAUGCUGCAUUCUGUUCAUUCGGCCGCCUCGUCCACGUCCACGAUUGGUACGCAUUCCAGUUCCAUGUCCCUCCAUCCGGUUAUUUCGAUACCAUCCUCUAUUUUGACGAUAGUACGAAUCAUCACGCAUGAUAUUCACCCGCACACCUUCUGGAACUUUGAUGCUUCCAAGGGCCUUUGAAACAGCAUUCUGGUUUUCAACAAAUACAUAUGCAUAGUUAGUGGGGUUUACGUUUUGAGGAGCUUGGGGACUUUUGUAACGAUUGAGUGAAGUACGAAUUUGAAUAUUCGUAAUCAGGCUGUCUGUCCCGUCCUUAAAGUAAGAACGGGCUUCCUCUUCAGAAUUGCAAGGGGUAAUAUGAAAUCCACAACGUUCAUAACGCUGCUCACCACUAUAUUGACGGAAUUCACGAUCGUUGCCCUUCUGCAUAUCAGUUCUUCUACCUUCUUGUGCUUGAGAUCUUGUAACAUUUGCAGCAUUCUCUUGUUCAAGUAUGGUAACCUCUGUAGUCGUCUCACCUAGCUCGAGAUUUCCAGUACCCUUAGUCACCUCUUCAACGUCAACUUCCUCUUUCCCUCCAAUUGCUGGUUGUUCUUCUUCAUUAGGACUAGGCUUCUCUGCUACGCCAGAAAUGGGUUCUUCCUCGGCAGCAGGUGGUCCCGACUUCUCUUCGAUUACUUCAUGAGUCUCAGCCGACUCUUCUGUAGUAUUCGCUCUUGACAUUCCUAGCUCAUCAGUAUGUUCCUGAUCGUACCCUUCAAUCUGUUCUUCUUCGGUUGGUGUAGCCGUAGCUUCUCUGUUCUUGGUAAACUGUGCUUGAGAUUCCACCAACCUAUUGUUAGCGUAAUAAUAGGUACCGGUAUUUUCCGAAGUUGAGCGUGGAAUGUGAGAUGCAUAAUUUUCGUUACGACGUGAAGCCAUGCGACGAUAGCCUAAAUUAAAGCCAUGAGAUUUGCUUUCCACUUGAACAUGCCCAUUUUCGACGACAAAAACAGUCCAUCCAAAGGAAGCAUCUAAUAAAUUGAAGUUCCAUAGGUUUUUAAAAGCAGUGCCGGGAAGCAUGUUAUUCAUAGCAUAUGAGUUAGUUGCAUCGGGCAUGCGAGAGACUAGGCGAACAACAUUGUUUAUUAGAUGAUGUUGUUCAGGGGUAACCAUCUUCUCAACCUCAGCCUUAACAGUGUCAUACACUUCCAUAAACUGUGCACGGGCAGCCGAAAGUUUUUGAAGAUAAUGUUCAGGACUAUGAUUUACGCAAAACUCAUUGUAGCUAGCUCCAUAACGAAAAUGAAGACCGGCGGAUAAAGUCAGGUCAGCCUGGCAAGCAGUAGCUAAUUGAGAAAGAACACCUUCUCUUCCAAUGGGAUGAUGCGUAAUAAAAAUACGUGCCUCCUCUCUGUCAAGCAGGCUCUUAGCGGUUUCUAUUAGUUCACCCAUUUGAAGGAUUGUAGUCCACAUAGUACCCUGGCCACCAGCAAUAGUUCCUUUACCGUCUCCAUUGUCAAAAAGCUUAAAAGGGACAUAAGGACCUCCAAGACCAAGUAAACGGAUUUUCAUAUCUCCAAUUUGCAAUAGGUAGGAAUGAAGUUCGUCCACUAUGUUAAGGUUUGGAAUAGAAUAUUCUCCAGAACGAAAUUUUUCCAAAACGUGCACAUCUUCGCAAGCUCCCCAUACUACAUAUACAGGGACUGAGAAUUUCUUCUCUUGUGACAAAAAUUGAGGUAAUUCUGAAAGCAGGCAAUCGGGGUGAGAAGCAAUACUAUUCUUCAAAUCCCCAAUUGGAUUCGAGGGAUAAUAAUCAAAGUUUUUGGACCUAGGAAGCUUUUUUAUGAGAGGCGAGAAUUGGACAAUGUGACGAAGAGUACUGAAAAAAGGUUAGAACAAAGAAAAAUGAAACAUAAAAAUUUUUGACACAAAACAUACCGUUCAGAUAUGCUAGGAAGUGAGGAUCGCUCAAAAAAUCCAAAGUCACCAGUGUGGAUGACACAGGAGGCAUUGGUUUCCUCAACCAGGCUAUUUAUUAAACUCAGUUCACCUGAAGGGAUAGUUAUUAGUAAAAACGCGUAUUAAAGAGUAGUAAUUUUAAGGAUAGGAAUAGCUAAGGAGAAUAAAGUGUAUGGACAAAAUUCUUUUACGAACCAACGAGGAUCUUUAAUGACAAAAUGAGUAAAUUGAGCAAUUGCGCUUCAACUCCUGCUAAGCCAUUAUGGAUAAGUUCAUGCAAAAGCAUACAAAUUCGCAUCUUCUUAUCUUAAAAAGUAAAACGAUCGUCGAUAAUUCCCCCGAUGGGGUGCUUUUGAAUUCUCGCUGGCAGCUCUAAAUCCAUAAACAACGCAUACUUACCUCGAACAUCGGCAAUACAUAAGAUCCUGGAUUUAUUAUCCAAUGUGAGUACUUGAGCUGAAACAUCCAACGUGGAAUUAUUCUCGGAAUCUGAGUACGUUUUAGAGGAUUU